CCUACGGGUGGCAGCAGUAAGGAAUAUUGGUCAAUGGACGAGAGUCUGAACCAGCCAAGUCGCGUGAAGGAUGACUGCCCUAUGGGUUGUAAACUUCUUUUAUAUGGGAAUAAAAUGUUCCACGUGUGGGAUUUUGUAUGUACCAUAUGAAUAAGGAUCGGCUAACUCCGUGCCAGCAGCCGCGGUAAUACGGAGGAUCCGAGCGUUAUCCGGAUUUAUUGGGUUUAAAGGGUGCGUAGGGGGAUUGUUAAGUCAGUUGUGAAAGUUUGCGGCUCAACCGUAAAAUUGCAGUUGAAACUGGCAGUCUUGAGUACAGGAGAGGUGGGCGGAAUUCGUGGUGUAGCGGUGAAAUGCUUAGAUAUCACGAAGAACUCUGAUUGCGAAGGCAGUUCACUGGACUGCAACUGACACUGAGGCUCGAAAGUGUGGGUAUCAAACAGGAUUAGAUACCCCUGUAGUC
rnacentral:rRNA from 1 species